rnacentral:tRNA from 1 species
GGUCUCGUAGCUCAGCUGGUGGGGUGUGCAUUGUAAAAAAGCUUAGACAGUGGGUUCGAAUCCCACCGAGGCUA